rnacentral:rRNA from 1 species
UACGUAGGGGGCAAGCGUUGUCCGGAUUUAUUGGGCGUAAAGAGCGUGUAGGCGGCCAGGUAGGUCAGCUGUGAAAACUCGAGGCUUAACCUCGAGACGCCGGCUGAAACCCUCUGGCUAGAGUCCGGAAGAGGAGAGCGGAAUUCCUGGUGUAGCGGUGAAAUGCGCAGAUAUCAGGAAGAAUACCCGUGGCGAAGGCGGCUCUCUGGGACGGUACUGACGCUGAGACGCGAAAGCGUGGGGAGCGAACAGG